rnacentral:lncRNA from 1 species
AGAUUCCAUUUAGAUUUUUCUUGAGCUCGUUGGACUCCAUUCAUCAUCUUAGACCUCACUGUGGGCUUAGUGUAAAUCGAAUCUCGAGGUAUCAAAUCUCAACAAUCUCCAUCUCGACUCGAUAUUCGAUAUCGAUCUAUCUCUAAGAGCCUAUGAUCCAUCUUGGCCCCAUGCCUUGGGACAUACCUGCUAUCUCAUGGAUGG